UUGCGGCGUUGCUAAUACAUGCAAGUCGAGCGGACAGAUGGGAGCUUGCUCCCUGAUGUUAGCGGCGGACGGGUGAGUAACACGUGGGUAACCUGCCUGUAAGACUGGGAUAACUCCGGGAAACCGGGGCUAAUACCGGAUGGUUGUUUGAACCGCAUGGUUCAGACAUAAAAGGUGGCUUCGGCUACCACUUACAGAUGGACCCGCGGCGCAUUAGCUAGUUGGUGAGGUAACGGCUCACCAAGGCGACGAUGCGUAGCCGACCUGAGAGGGUGAUCGGCCACACUGGGACUGAGACACGGCCCAGACUCCUACGGGAGGCAGCAGUAGGGAAUCUUCCGCAAUGGACGAAAGUCUGACGGAGCAACGCCGCGUGAGUGAUGAAGGUUUUCGGAUCGUAAAGCUCUGUUGUUAGGGAAGAACAAGUGCCGUUCAAAUAGGGCGGCACCUUGACGGUACCUAACCAGAAAGCCACGGCUAACUACGUGCC
rnacentral:rRNA from 1 species